AUGAGAUUUAACAUAUUUCUUUUGUUUCAACAGUUAAUUUUCUGAGGGAGAACACAAUUCUUUUGGCUGGAGUUGGAGGAGGGGUUCUUACAUUGAUCUUAGUUGUCAUAGUGGCGGUUAUAAUAUGGGAUAUUAGAAGAAAAAAGAGGCAAAAACACAUUACACUAAACGGAAAUCAUAACCAACAAGGAGAAGCAGAGAAUUUGACGACGGUCCCAUCUUCCGAUGAACGAAUUUACGCGAGACCGUUUUCGUUUGGCAAUAACAAUAACGGAAAAGCUUCUACAGAAGCCCAAAGAUUAACAGAUCGUGAAAAGCAAAUUGAACUAGAACGUAGACAAUGUGCAAGCAUGUACAGCUAUGGAGGAUUCUCAGUGAAUGAGUUUCAAGAUGAUGAAAUCAUGUACGACAACCAAUUUGCCCCAGAGUACAAAUAAUAUUUAAUACUAUAAUGACGUUUUCAAUGCUUUAUUUUGAAG